AGCCAAUCAUAUGCCUUAUUGUGAUGUCUGUAAGUGUCACCAGACCCCACAUGAAGUCCUAGAUGGGGAGGAGACUGAGAUGUGGGCAUGACCACUAGUCUAGGCCCCUGUCAAAUGACUGACCAUCCAUUCUCCACUCACACGCUUCCUGGGGAGGGGCCCUCACCAUCUCCUGAGGCAGCCUCUUCCCCUGUCUCCUCUGCAGGGUCCUGCCUCAGCCACAAGUUCCUUGGGGGGAGGGCUCUGGCACAGAGGAGGCCUCAGAGGACAAUCCCCGAAGCGGGGACCAAUCCAUGCUAGGGCAGGACUGCGGGGGAUGGGGAAAUGGAGGUUAGAGGUCCUGGGUCCCACCCAAGGUUGCCAACUCGAUGCGUUUCCUCAGCCUCAGAUGGAGCUGAGGGGGGAGGCAGAGGAGAGGCCAGGGGGACAGUAGGGUUUAGUACUGAGGAAGCUUUUCAGUCACCCUUUGGAGCUCCCCUCUACCAGCUAGAUGGGAUGCAGACUGAUUCAUGAAUCAACGAAUAAAGCCAAUUAGAUCUUUAAAA